rnacentral:rRNA from 1 species
CGUAGCUAACGCAUUAAGUGCCCCGCCUGGGGAGUACGGCCGCAAGGCUAAAACUCAAAGGAAUUGACGGGGGCCCGCACAAGCGGCGGAGCAUGCGGAUUAAUUCGAUGCAACGCGAAGAACCUUACCAAGGCUUGACAUUCACCGGACCGCCCCAGAGAUGGGGUUUCCCUUCGGGGCUGGUGGACAGGUGGUGCAUGGUUGUCGUCAGCUCGUGUCGUGAGAUGUUGGGUUAAGUCCCGCAACGAGCGCAACCCUCGUUCUAUGUUGCCAGCACGUGAUGGUGGGGACUCAUAGGAGACUGCCGGGGUCAACUCGGAGGAAGGUGGGGAUGACGUCAAAUCAUCAUGCCCCUUAUGUCUUGGGCUUCACGCAUGCUACAAUGGCCGGUACAAAGGGUUGCGAUACUGUGAGGUGGAGCUAAUCCCAAAAAGCCGGUCUCAGUUCGGAUUGAGGUCUGCAACUCGACCUCAUGAAGUCGGAGUCGCUAGUAAUCGCAGAUCAGCAACGCUGCGGUGAAUACGUUCCCGGGCCUUGUACACACCGCCCGUCAAGUCACGAAAGUUGGUAACACCCGAAGCCGGUGGCCU